UGAGGAAUAUUGGUCAAUGGACGGAAGUCUGAACCAGCCAAGUAGCGUGCAGGAUGACGGCCCUAUGGGUUGUAAACUGCUUUUAUACGGGGAUAAAGUUAGGGACGUGUCCCUAUUUGCAGGUACCGUAUGAAUAAGGACCGGCUAAUUCCGUGCCAGCAGCCGCGGUAAUACGGAAGGUUCGGGCGUUAUCCGGAUUUAUUGGGUUUAAAGGGAGCGUAGGCCGUUUGGUAAGCGUGUUGUGAAAUGUAGGAGCUCAACUUCUAGAUUGCAGCGCGAACUGUCAGACUUGAGUGCGCACAACGUAGGCGGAAUUCAUGGUGUAGCGGUGAAAUGCUUAGAUAUCAUGAAGAACUCCGAUUGCGAAGGCAGCUUACGGGAGCGCAACUGACGCUGAAGCUCGAAGGUGCGGGUAUCGAACAGG
rnacentral:rRNA from 1 species